UACGUAGGGGGCGAGCGUUGUCCGGAUUUAUUGGGCGUAAAGAGCUCGUAGGCGGCUUGGUAGGUCCGCUGUGAAAACUCGAGGCUCAACCUCGAGACGCCGGUGGAAACCAUCAGGCUAGAGUCCGGAAGAGGAGAGUGGAAUUCCUGGUGUAGCGGUGAAAUGCGCAGAUAUCAGGAAGAACACCCGUGGCGUAAGGCGGCUCUCUAGUACGGUACUGACGCUGAGACGCGAAAGCGUGGGGAGCGAACAGG
rnacentral:rRNA from 1 species